rnacentral:rRNA from 1 species
AUUGAACGCUGGCGGCAGGCUUAACACAUGCAAGUCGAGCGGAGUGGCGAACGGGUGAGUAAUGUAUCGGAACGUGCCCAGUAGCGGGGGAUAACUACGCGAAAGCGUAGCUAAUACCGCAUACUAUUGGAGCGGCCGAUAUCGGAUUAGCUAGUUGGUGGGGUAAAGGCUCACCAAGGCGACGAUCCGUAGCUGGUGUGAGAGGACGACCAGCCAAACGUGGACUGAGACACGGCCCAGACUCCUACGGGAGGCAGCAGUGGGGAAGAUUGCACAAUGGGCGCAAGCCUGAUGCAGCCAUGCCGCGUGUGUGAAGAAGGCCUUCGGGUUGUAAAGCACUUUCAGCGAGGAGGCGUUACUCGCAGAAGAAGCACCGGCUAACUCCGUGCCAGCAGCCGCGGUAAUUC